AUAAACGCUGGCGGCGCACAUAAGACAUGCAAGUUGAACGGACUUAAUCGAAAUAUUUAUAUUUUGAAGCGGUUAGUGGCGGACUGGUGAGUAACGCGUAAGGAACCUGCCUAUUAGAGGGGAAUAACAGUGAGAAAUCAUUGCUAAUACCGCAUAUGCCAUAGAUAUCACAUGAUAACAGAGGGAAAGGAGCAAUCCGCUAAUAGAUGGCCUUGCGUCUGAUUAGAUAGUUGGUGGGGUAACGGCCUACCAAGUCGACGAUCAGUAGCCGGACUGAGAGGUUGAACGGCCACAUUGGGACUGAGAUACGGCCCAGACUCCUACGGGAGGCAGCAGUCGGGAAUAUUGCGCAAUGGAGGAAACUCUGACGCAGUGACGCCGCGUAUAGGAAGAAGGUUUUCGGAUUGUAAACUAUUGUCGUUAGGGAAGAGAAAGGACAGUACCUAAGGAGGAAGCUCCGGCUAACUACGUG
rnacentral:rRNA from 1 species